UUUGCAAAGAGUUUCUAUGUUCAUUUCAAACCUUUGGCAGUAUUAUAUCUAGAAUUUUUUUUUGUUCUCUUUUUCUUUUUCUUUUUUCCUUUUUUCUUUUGAUUAAGAUCCUCACUUCUCACAGGGGGAAAAAGAGGAAAAGCGAAAUUUUAUAAAAGGGCAGUUCUGACCUAGGAAGAGGAAAGAAGGUUUUAACAUAGAGGAAAGCUGAGGUAUAUCUUUAAAGUAGAGUAGGAGGUUCUCACUACAUCAUUUUGCUUUAAGUGGAUGUAAAGGAAAAGUUACCAAGUGUUUUCUUGCUUGAACAAAGAUAGGUAUUUUCUCAUGAAGCUUUGAAAGGUUUUCUAGUUGAAAAGUAAUGUGAAAAACAAUAACUUCUGCCACUGAAUGAUUGUUAUAAGCCUCAGUACCUUCAAUAAAAAGAUGCUUCUGUUCAAUUUCCAGUCACAUCAAAUUCUCAUUACGAGAAGCUAAAUCCCAUCUCUCCAUGAGCCAGACUGUAUCAAAAGUAGCAGAUUUAUGCAUUAAGUUUUGUAACAUAUGCUUACAUCCCAUAUAGCCCAGGUCACAAAGCAAAUUCUAGGACUUUUUCCCCUCAAUGAAUACCAGGAUUGGAUGCCAAGCUUCAAGGAGACCAAGAGCAGGAAAGUACUUGUGGACAAGGUGUCCUUGAAAAAUAAGAAAGACAUCCUAUUGCUUUUUGAAAACAAAAUUGUCCAGUUCCCAACAGGUUGCACAAAACCCAUUUUGUGUUAAAGAAAACAAAAGAUUUAUAAGAGUAUUAUUUAGAAUCUAUAAGAAAAAAAAAUAGAGAGAUAAUAAAAUAAAGAGAAAUAAAGAGAAAAUAAAGUCCCUAGGGUAGAAAACCAAAAGGUCUUCUUAAUAAUUUCCACGCCAUUCUCUCUUCUCAUGUUACUUGCAAAAUGUUAGAUAUUGCUAUUUUUUUUUCUAAGGUGGAUAAGAAAAUCAGACUAAAUGCCAUUGUAGUUGAAUUUCCCAGAAUGACUGUGGAAAUUGGGAUACAAAGGUACAGACGUCAAUAAUAAAUGCUAGGGUUCAACACACAAACUUAAGUCAAAACACCUCUCACCCUACCAGUAAAGAGGCCAAGGGACAUGCCCCUAAGAUGGCUGUGCCUUUAAAGACAGCUGUGUUUAGCAGUGAAGAGUACCUCUGCUAGGCAGAAAGAUGAACACUGCUUUUACAAAGAAAAUAGGUCAACUGAUAUGACAGAAUGAAAGCAGGAUUUUGUCAAUUUUUUUAAGGCAGAAAAACUGACAAUGAAAGGAAAAAAUCAAGGUUACAAAAAUGAUGUGUUUUCUUAUUGGCAACAUGUCCACUGUCGUACUUAGAGUCCACAGUUUGCUGUGUUUGAGAGUGUUGGCUUCAUUUUAAGAUGUAACUAAAUCCAAGUAUUUAAUGGAAUGGUACAUCCUUACCUGUGUUUCCCAAAACAGAUGCAAAGGGUUCUCCAGAAUAGGCAAAUUGAAAAGGAAUAAGGUGACAGGGCUGGAAAAGCAGCAGCAACAUUUUGUAACAGAAUGGUUUGAAGAUUAAAAUGAAAUGAGGCCUAUCUAUAAGGCAAUAGCAGUGAUAGAAAUAGAAAAUUAGAAUCCAGUUUAUAGUUACACUGUAAAUUACAAUCAUCAAUUCAUAUAUAUUAGAGCCAUGGAGUUGAUUGCAAAAAUGGCCAUAAUACAUUUGAGUAUCUCCAAUCAAGAACUUGAGUCUAUUUGCCCAUUCUUGAAUUUGGGGUGGUGUUGGGACUUGCUUUGGCUAAAGAAAGUGGCAGAAAUGAUAUUGUCUAGCUCUGAGCAUAAGCGUGAAAAUAACUUGCAGUUUCUUUCUCACUUCUCCCUCUCUCUCUUUCUGAGAACCCGCCACCUCCAUUUGCACAAGCCCAAGUCCAGUCUAGCCUUCCAGUGGAUGAGUCAUGGCACAGCUAUGGCUAUGGCUCUACCCAACAGUCAGCUAAUCCCCCGAAGCAGAGCCUUUUCACUGACCAGCAGCUGCCCACCUACACAUGGGUUAGUCCAAUUGUAUCAACAGAAGAACUACCCAGCUGAUCCAAACCAAAUUUCCAACCCACGGAUUUAUGAGCCAAACAAGCAGUUGUUAUUUCAAGACCCUAAGUUUAGUAAUGAUUUCUCACACAACAAAAGAUAGUAGAUAGAAUCCAUAUAGAAACUUCCCGCAAGUCAGUUAGUUAUUAACCCAUUUUGCUAAAACUUUACUGAAUAGGAACUAUGUGCAAGCACGCUAACAAAGCUUAUUCAUAGUCCUUUGGGGAAACAGAACUCCCUGGUGUGUAAUGUGAGGCUUGCAGUUUACCUGGGGAAGCCAGGAAGGCUUGGAGCAGAGAACACCUCAGUGAGGGCUUAAAAUAGAUUGAUGAGUGGAUCAAGUGAAGUAAGGUGGGACAGUUAUGUCAGGCAGAGGAAAUGAUAAAGGUAUAAAGAAGUAAAAUAGCAAGGCAUAAGCAGAGAGGUACAGGAAUUUAUAGUAGAAAAAUGUAGUGUCUUAAGGAAUGGCAAAAAAAAAAAAAAAGAAAGAAAGAAAGAAAGAAAGAAAAAAAAGAAACUCAGCAGUUAAUAAGAACCAGACCAUGGAAGACUGGAGGCUCCCAUAAAUAUCUUGGAUUGAAGUAUAUUGAUAAAGGCUUAGGCCAGUAGUCCUCAAACAGUAGGGUACAUGAAAAUGAUCUGAAUAGAACUUUUGAGGACUCUCUUACCCAUAAAUUAAGAUUCAGCAAGUUUUUGAUGGAGCCCAGACUUUGGGCUUUAAAUUUUUAAAUUUUACAUUUUUAAUAUGGAAUGUUGGAGUAUCUGAUGCAGGUUGUUCAUGGACCACACUUUGAAAAAUAUUACUGUAGGGAAUGGGAGGAGUCCAGUAGUGGUUUAAAAAAAUGGAGUAACUCAGGCACUCUCAUAUUAUUUUCAGGUCAGUAUUUAAGACUGAUUUUUCUUAAAUCAGUCUCUGGUAUGGACAAAAUAUAUAAGGUUAUAAUAUAAUAUGGAAUAUUACUUAGUCUAUAGAACAUAUUCAAAUUUCUCCAAUUGUUCCACCAAUGCUCUUUUUUGGAUCAGGAUCCAAUCCAAACACACACUUCGCAUUUAGUUGUCAUGUUUCCUUAGCGUUCUUUAAUAUGAAACAGUUCCUCAGUCUUUCUUUGUGUUUUAUGACCUUGACGAUUUUCAUGAGUACUGGCCAGGUAUUCUGGAUGCCCUUGCACCAAUGAGCCCAGCUGAUUCCCAGACUUUGGUUUCUAAAUACCACUCUCCAAUAUAAGAAAACUAUGGCUCCUUGGAGAAACAGCUGAAUCCAGGGCUGAAGGAGAAAAAAUAAGAUGAGCCUGAAAUAUUUUGUGCUAGAAAAUACCAAAGAGUUAAAAAGAAAGAAAGAAAGAAUAGGCACAUUUCAAAAAGACAAAGUAGCCAACUUGAUUGGUGAUCCUAAAGGUCAAAUACAGAAACACUGAAUAACAAAAUAAAUCUUGAUCAUAAGGGAUUAUAACCUGUGGAAUAACGUAAGGGUUCAUGUGUCUGUACUAACACAAAUAAGUGAGUGAACAAAUGAAUGAAUGAAUAAGUAAAGGAGAAAAGAAAACUUUUCCUUACUAUAAAACUACAACUUGUUUCUAAGUUAAGGAAUUAUUGAACCAGAAAAUUACCAUUUGGCAAACACCACAGUAAUAGUUGUUUCAGGCAAGAAUCAUUAACGGAUACUAAAAUUAGUGGCAAAGGUGUGAUAAAUUACAGGAUAUUUAAAUUCUCUCAAAUUAUUUUCCCAUGAGAUACUUAUAGAGUACAAAGAAAUAUAGUGCCUUUGUAGUGAAGAAAUCUGGCAAACACCACCCUCCCCAAGUGAUCAAAGUUAACAUUUUCAGUAAUGGAAUAAAUUGACAUCAAGAGUCUUCGGAUAAGACAUGUUGAUAAGGUCACAACCUCACUUUCUGGUAUCCUUGCCAAAAAUGCAAAACUGAAUUUAAAUAUGAGAAAACAUCAGAGGAAGUGCAUUGACUGUCAGAGCCUCAUCGACCUAGUAUAAGAGACACACCAACGUACGUACACUCAUAUGUGUUAGAGGCACUUUCAGUUUGGCAUUCAUUCAGUUCACAAAGAGAUCCAUUUAAAGACUUUACAACGUACGUACACUCAUAUGUGUUAGAGGCACUUUCAGUUUGGCCUUCAUUCAGUUCACAAAGAGAUCCAUUUAAAGACUUUACAGAAGAAAAAUGACAGGAUGAAAACUGUGCCUCGAGGAGAUUAAACUGGAAGCAGAAGGUAUCAACCCAGGCCAUGGAGCUGAAUGGAGAAGAAAUGCCUUCCAUCCCUUCCAACCAUUUGGCUUCUCCAGUCCCUCACCUCAAGCAAACCUCAUCAAGGUUUUCCGAUUUCCAGACCCAGGUCCUGAGCAACUAUGUAAAUGCAAACAAACACUGGUGAUGACUGUAAGAGCAUGGUGUUGAUGACGCGGGGAGGUGGCUGCACAAUUAGAGAUACACUUCCUAGCUACCCUGGAUUCAGGUUUGUCCAUGUGCUAGCCCCCACCAAAGGAACUUGAGAAGAGAUUGUGUCACCUCCAUGCUGAAAGCAUUUAAGCAGCAGAUAGAUCUGAGAUGGAGAACUCAGAGGCACCAGAGUAUGGUGGAAUCAAAAGGUGGAAAGAGCCUGGGUUCCCUGAAUGAUU